rnacentral:rRNA from 1 species
GAUGAACGCUGGCGGCGUGCCUAAUACAUGCAAGUCGAGCGAACAGACGAGGAGCUAGCUCCUCUGACGUUAGCGGCGGACGGGUGAGUAACACGUGGAUAACCUACCUAUAAGACUGGGAUAACUUCGGGAAACCGGAGCUAAUACCGGAUAAUAUAUUGAACCGCAUGGUUCAAUAGUGAAAGACGGUUUUGCUGUCACUUAUAGAUGGAUCCGCGCCGCAUUAGCUAGUUGGUAAGGUAACGGCUUACCAAGGCGACGAUGCGUAGCCGACCUGAGAGGGUGAUCGGCCACACUGGAACUGAGACACGGUCCAGACUCCUACGGGAGGCAGCAGUAGGGAAUCUUCCGCAAUGGGCGAAAGCCUGACGGAGCAACGCCGCGUGAGUGAUGAAGGUCUUCGGAUCGUAAAACUCUGUUAUUAGGGAAGAACAAAUGUGUAAGUAACUAUGCACGUCUUGACGGUACCUAAUCAGAAAGCCACGGCUAACUACGUG